CGGGCGGAUGGUGGAUGCCUUGGCGACAGGAGGCGACGAAGGACGCGGCAAGCUGCGAUAAGCCGCGGGUAGGCGCAUGCUGCCUUUGAUCCGCGGAUUUCCGAAUGGAGCAAUCCGGCACCCCUGAACAGGGUGCCAUCCCGUUCUGAAUAAAAUAGGUUCGGGAGGCUAUACCCGGGGAAGUGAAACAUCUCAGUACCCGGAGGAGAAGAAAACAACAGUGAUUCCGUCAGUAGUGGCGAGCGAACGCGGAACAGCCCAAACCGGGAGGCUUGCCUUCUGGGGUUGCGGGACCGGUAUCCGGCUGUUCGAGGAUAAGUGCAAGCCGCUGGGAAGCGGCGCCGUAGCGGGUGACAGCCCCUUGCAUAUAGUUUCUUGAUCGGCUUUCCGGCACCCAAGUAGGUCGGGACACGUGAAACCCCGUCUGAAUCCGGAGGGCCCACCCUCCAAGGCUAAAUACUCUCUGUCGACCGAUAGUGUACCAGUACCGUGAGGGAAAGGUGAAAAGAACCCCUUUCGGGGAGUGAAAUAGAACCUGAAACCAUCCGCCUUCAAGCUGUGGGAGCCGGCUUUGUCCGGUGACCGCGUGCCUUUUGCAUAAUGAGCCUGCGAGUUUUCCUGCACGGCAAGGCCAAGCCGAUGGCGCAGCCGAAGCGAAAGCGAGUGCGAACAGCGCGUUCAGUCGUGCGGGGCAGACCCGAAACUGAGUGAUCUAUCCAUGGCCAGGCCGAACCCCCGGUAACGCGGGGUGGAGGGCCGAACCAUUUGGUGUUGAAAAACCUUUGGAUGAGCUGUGGAUAGGGGUGAAAGGCCAAUCAAACUCAGUGAUAGCUGGUUCUCUCCGAAAUAGCUUUAGGGCUAGCCCUGGGAUUUUAGAUGCGCGGGGGUAGAGCGACCGAUCGGCGGCGGGUCCCCACCGGGAUGCCAAAGCCGGCCGAACUCCGAAUACCGCGUCAUUAUGCCCGGGAGUCAGACCGCGGGGGAUAAGCUCCGCGGUCGAAAGGGAAACAGCCCGGACCUCCGGCUAAGGCCCCUAAUCGUGUGUUCAGUGGAUUGAAGGAAGUGGAGUCGCACAGACAGCCAGGAUGUUGGCUUAGAGGCAGCCAUCAUUUAAAGAUUGCGUAAUAGCUCACUGGCCGAGUGGUUCCGCGCCGAAAAUGAUCGGGACUCAAACACGCAGCCGAAGCCGAGGAAUACUUUUUCAGUAUUGGUAGGAGAGCGUUCCAUAUUGUAUGAAUCCGGAGCGUGAGCGACGGUGGACUUUAUGGGAGUGAUCAUGCAGGCAUGAGUAACGAAAAGGAGGGUGUGAAUCCCUCCCGCCGAAAGUCCGAGGUUUCCUGGGCCAGGUUCGUCCUCCCAGGGUCAGUCGGCCCCUAAGGCGAGGCCGAAAGGCGUAGCCGAUGGAUUCCGGGUUAACAUUCCCGGACUCGCAUAGUCCAGUGAUGGCGUGACGCGGAAGGCCGUGCAGUCCUUCUUCUGGAAUAGGAGGUCCAAGCGCGCGGGGCGCCAUGCAGGCAAAUCCGCAUGGCAACAGUCCGAGGCGUGAUGGGGUGCGCACCCUUCUGGGUUCGCGAAGCUGCCGCCGGCCAUGCCGCCGUGAAAAGCGUCUAAGCGUUUUUACGGCUAUGUGAACCGUACCGCAAACCGACACAGGUGGACAGGUCGAAUAGACUGAGGCGCUCGGGAGAAACCACGUUAAGGAACUCGGCAAACUGGCCCCGUAACUUCGGGAGAAGGGGCGCUCUCUGCGGUAGGCUUGAUUUUCUCAUGCCUGCUGCGGGGAGCCGCAGUGAAAAGGCCCAGGCGACUGUUUAGCAAAAACACAGCACUCUGCCAAGUCGCAAGACGACGUAUAGGGUGUGACACGUGACCAAUGCCGAAAGGUCAAGCGGAAGGGUCAGCCGCAAGGCGAAGCUCGGAUGUGAAGCCCCGGUGAAUGUCGGCCGUAACUAUAACGGUCCUAAGGUAGCGAAAUUCCUUGUCGGGUAAGUUCCGACCUGCACGAAUCGUGUAACGAUCUGGGCGCUGUCUCAACGUGGAUCCCGGUGAAGUUGUAUUUCCGGUGAAAAUGCCGGAUACCUGCGGAAGGACGGAAAGACCCCAUGAACCUUUACUGUUGCCUGGCAUUGG
rnacentral:rRNA from 1 species